CCUACGGGUGGCAGCAGUGGGGAAUAUUGGGCAAUGGGCGCAAGCCUGACCCAGCAACGCCGCGUGAAGGAAGAAGGCUUUCGGGUUGUAAACUUCUUUUCUCAGGGACGAAGCAAGUGACGGUACCUGAGGAAUAAGCCACGGCUAACUACGUGCCAGCAGCCGCGGUACUACGUAGGUGGCAAGCGUUAUCCGGAUUUACUGGGUGUAAAGGGCGUGUAGGCGGGAUUGCAAGUCAGAUGUGAAAACCACGGGCUCAACCUGUGGCCUGCAUUUGAAACUGUAGUUCUUGAGUACUGGAGAGGCAGACGGAAUUCCUAGUGUAGCGGUGAAAUGCGUAGAUAUUAGGAGGAACACCAGUGGCGAAGGCGGUCUGCGGGACAGCAACUGACGCUGAGGCGCGAAAGCGUGGGGAGCAAACAGGAUUAGAUCCCUUGUAGUC
rnacentral:rRNA from 1 species